rnacentral:hammerhead_ribozyme from 1 species
AUCCAGCCGACAAGUUCCACAUAGGACGAAACGAGGGUCCUGGAU